rnacentral:misc_RNA from 1 species
UUUCCGUAGGUGAACCUGCGGAAGGAUCAUUCAUAAUAAAGUGUUUUACUGCACUUUUUAAAAAUAGUACUCACCUUGUGUGCAAUGUUGUGUUUCUUUUCGGAGAAACACCUACACCAACCUAUAACCUUGAACCACUUUGUCUGAAAAACUAUUAUGAAUACUUAAUUCAAAAUACAACUUUCAACAACGGAUCUCUUGGCUCUC